UGGUUGUGGUAAAGCAAAGAAGAAUAGAAAUGAAAAUGAAACGCUCUCCCUACUGCUUCUGCUGCAGUUUUGCCCUUUUGCUUCUUGUGAGCUUCUUGAAGGACAGACAUUUUUGCUCUGCUGAUCCAACUGAUGGGUUCACUGAGGUGCCAUUAACAGAGGACAACUUUGUCAUACAGAAACCUUAUGACAAACCCUUGAACGAUCGUUACUCUUACAAAAAUGGAAUUCGACGUUUAUGGGUUUAUGAAAAUGAUAAGCCCUUCAAAGUUGGCAGCCCCACCAGGCCCCGAACCGAAAUUCGCAUCAAGGGACAUGACUACUCAUCUGGAGUUUGGCAAUUCGAAGGCCAAGUGCAUGUUCCAGAAGGGACUUCUGGCGUUACAGUAAUGCAGGUAUUUGGCGCAGUUAACAAAGCCACGGCUCUGCAACUUAGGGUUUACAAUGGGGACUUGAAGUCCUACAAGUCCAACUCUGUUGCCACAGACAUCUACAAUAAGUGGUUAAGGGUUAAUGUGAUCCAUAAAGUAGGAAAAGGAGAAAUAACAGUUUUCAUCAACGGUCAACAGAAACUGGUGGUCAAUGAUGACGGACCGGCGGAGCAUUAUUUCAAGUGCGGGGUGUAUGCAGCGCCUGAUGGUUCAAGCAACUACAUGGAAUCAAGGUGGAAAAACAUCAAGCUUUACAAAAGUGACAAUAAACUUGAAGGCUGUAAUAAUAAUCAUGGAACUUGGCUAGUUCAAUAAUUGACAUGUUUCAACAUAUCAUCUCACUAGCUUUGUUUUCUUUCUAUCAUGUGAUAUUUAGCAGUUUAUGAUGCUGCCUGAUAAAAGAAAAAGCUGCCUUGUGGGUUAUGCAACUGUUAUCCUUCCAAUAAAAACAAUCUUUGCCUAAUACCAGAGAGUGCAAGAAACAGGGACCUUUAACUGGAAGUCAUAAAGAGCGAAUGGCUAGAUAUAGGAAUAGGAUAACCCAUUAACUGAUUUUUUUUAAAAAUAGUAUUGAAGAUGUAACUAGAAGCCUAAUAUAGUGAAACAAACAGCAAGAAAAUCUAACGCUCAUGUGACUUCAAACUAUAAUUCAACACCACACAAUAGUGUAUAGACCCAUCAAUGGAAUGAAUGAAUUGAUAGAAAAAAAAAUGUCAAAUCUAACCUGUGAUAUAAAAAUGAAAGAGAGUGAAUCAUAUCUAUACAACAGUAAAAGAAACAGCGAAGAAGCCUACACGCCACAAGGAAGGCAGCACCACUUUUGGAGUUGAAUAAAGAACCAUUGUAGAGGGUCAGGAUGUUCGUCUUCAUCUAAAUAAACAGUAGGCAGAGGAAGUUCAGGAGGUAAAUGCCGGUGAAAUGCGUCAACUGCAGCUGCUACACCAUCUUCGUUCUCUAUCAACUUUGCUAAUUCUAUUGCUCGAGAUUUCACCUCUGGCUGGAGCAUGAACCUUAUUGCAUUUGAAAGGUUCUCAACACUGAGCUGAGCUAUUGGUAUUGGUGAGGGUCCCAGCCCUUGUUUAUGUACUUUAUCACCCCAGAAAAACUGAUCUCCACAGGAUGGCACUAUGGUUGUUGGGCACUGCAAUUGACAAGUUUCACAAUAGACAAGCAACAACUAAAAACAAUUUAUUACGGUAAAAAUUAAAUUACAUAUUUUAAAAUAGGUUACCAAUCAUAUCUCUUAAUGCCAUUUCAUAUUAAAUAAUGUCUAACAUAUAAAUUUCUUCAGAAUCCCAAGUACAAUUUUUUUUUUCUUUUUUCGCUCUUUUUUUUUUGUUUGGAAAAGCCAAGAGAAAAGAAAAUAUUUUACUAAGGAACACCAGGGGGGCGUCAAUCCAAACACAGAAGGGGAAUGAUUGACAAGAAAGGGAAAAAAAAUUUUAAGCAGACAAUUACAGCUCGUAUAUCCUCAAAUUACCACCCUAAUGUAACAAAAUUGCAUUAAUCAUAUUGAUAUGGUGAAAUCAUUUGAUCAAUUAUGCAGUCAAAAACAUUAUAGUGAAAUAAUUAGAAAGAGAAUUACCCCCAGUUUUAGUCCUGCAGCUGUGGUUCCAGCACCACCAUGAUGAACCAAAGCAGCACAUUGAGGAAACAACCAAUCAUGGGGGCAAUCCUCCAAAAGGAAGACAGUAUCAGGAACUUCGGUAAGAUUCCCUAGAUCUCCCCAACCACGGUAAAUUAUUCCUCUUUGCCCAGUAUCCUUCAAUGCUUCCAUUAUUAUGUCUGUAGUUUUCUUGGGAUCUUCAAGAGGCGUGCUUCCAAACCCAAUAUAUAUGGGUUUUGUUCCUUUCUGAAUCCAUUCUUUGAAUUCUUCUUUAGGCUCAUAUUUUGACCCAAGGUUUAAGAAACAAUAACCGACAACAUCAACUAAAGGACCCCAAUCUCUUGGCUUUGACACAAGAUGAGGACUCCACAAAUAACCUGUUGGUAAAUCAGAUAAUGAUCCAUGGUACAUAUUGAAGUAUGCAAUUGGGGGAAGCUUCAACUUUCCUUUCCUAAAGUCAUUUAUAUAUCCUCUUAUUCCCCACCAUAUGAGUAAAUCCACAACUAUGUAUGAAAGCCAAUAACCAGCACUUUGAGGAAUACGUGCUAAAGGGUGAGGAAAUUCAUAUGUUGGCGUCCAAGGCAUUGUGAAGAAAAUGUGAAUCGGUACACCAAGAGCUUCAGCAACAUGUACGUGUCCAUAAGCAGGUGGGUUUGCAAUAAUUGCUUGGGCUCUAAAAGGUGCACCAGUUUCAAUAUCUGGCUCUGUGCAUGCGGGAAGAAGUGACUCAAUAAUGGCUUUCAGCUCCUUCCUUUGUAAGAUUAUUUCUCCUGGAGCAGAUGGGAUGAGACCUUUAUUUCUGGCCAUAUCUCUUACAUCCUGCCAAAACCCGAGGAUCACCGCCUAAGGGAUAAAAUUCUACACCAGCUGACCUUACAAAACUUCUGAAGUUAGCAUGAGUUGCCAGCCUAACAUGAUGACCAAAUUCCUGAAGUCUCUUAGCCAUAGCUAGAAAUGGCUGCACAUCUCCUCUUGUUCCGACCACAAGAAUUGCAAUUUUCAACCUUGGAAUUAAUUUAUUGGAAGAUUCACGAGUGCUAUCAUCAACAUAGAAAGAUGCCCCCCCUUCAACUGAGUGAAGCUCUAACAGUUCAGAAGCAACAGGAGCAGUUUUGGCUAGAUCAACUUCCACUGUUCCAUCAUUUUGGAUCUUUACCAAUUCAAUAAUAAGUUUUUUCUUUUCACGCUCAGAUAGUUUAUCUAAUUUUAGCUCAUGCCUCAUAGUCCUCUUCUCUGUCAUGGAUCUAUAGAAUUUAAUAUCAUCAUGGUCCUCAAUUAGCGGAUGUCUAUGAGUGCCAACAGGGGCAGUGAUGCAGUGAUCCAAGCCAUAUGUAAGAAUGGAGGGAAGCAAUUUUCUCCCCGAUCACCCUCCCAUUUCCACAUGAACAAUCCAGAAAAAGUCAUUAAAAAAAAGGGCACAAAUGAUACUUAAUUAAAUGUAUGGCUUCUGGCUGCUAAAAGAUUUUCCUUCCAUAAAUUAGACAUGAUAAACAAAUUUUAAAAAAUGGCAGUUAAUACAGAAAAUGAGCAAAAAAAAAAAAGAAAUAUAAUGUACCACAAUGGACUACUAUGAUUGAUUCGGGGGGUUUUAUAACGAAGUUGACAUAUAGCAAUAACCAUAAUAUUAGAUUACCACUACAAACACACAUGGAGAUCAGAUUCUCCAUGAAAGGAAAGAACAUAAAGAACACUUUAACUUCUGAGAAAUGAGAAAAAUAGAAAACAUGAGGGAUAUGCAAGAAAACUGCUUGCCUAUCUCAAGAUGUUCCUAAGAUGGAAUAUAAGCAUUGUAAGUUUAGCUCUCGUAAAUAAUGGAGGGGAGGUUCAAUUGGUUGGAUUUUUGGUGCCAAAAUACAACCACUUCAAGUAUUUAGAUUUUAUCAUCCAAAAGAAUGGAGUCAUAGAUGGGGAUGUAACUCAUAGGAUCAAAACAUGAUAGAUAAAAUGGAGGAGUGUAACAUGUGUGUUAUGCGGCCAUAAGAUUCCUCAUAAAGUGAAAGGUAAAUUCAAUAAAACUGUAGUCAAUCUAGCUAUGUGGGUAUCUAAGUACAAAAUACUCACAAGAUAAGUGUGACAAAUAUGUGGAUGUUAAGAUGGAUGUCU
rnacentral:misc_RNA from 1 species